rnacentral:rRNA from 1 species
UGGGGAAUAUUGGACAAUGGGCGCAAGCCUGAUCCAGCCAUGCCGCGUGAGUGAUGAAGGCCUUAGGGUUGUAAAGCUCUUUCGACGGGGACGAUAAUGACGGUACCCGUACAAGAAGCCCCGGCUAACUUCGUGCCAGCAGCCGCGGUAAUACGAAGGGGGCUAGCGUUGCUCGGAAUUACUGGGCGUAAAGGGCGCGUAGGCGGACUUUUAAGUCGGAGGUGAAAGCCUGGGGCUCAACCCCAGAAUUGCCUUCGAUACUGGAAGUCUUGAGACCGGUAGAGGUGAGUGGAACUGCGAGUGUAGAGGUGAAAUUCGUAGAUAUUCGCAAGAACACCAGUGGCGAAGGCGGCUCACUGGACCGGAUCUGACGCUGAGGCGCGAAAGCGUGGGGAGCAAA